UACGUAGGGUGCAAGCGUUGUCCGGAUUUAUUGGGCGUAAAGAGCUCGUAGGCGGCUUGUCGCGUCGACUGUGAAAACCCGCAGCUCAACUGCGGGCCUGCAGGCGAUACGGGCAGGCUAGAGUUCGGUAGGGGAGACUGGAAUUCCUGGUGUAGCGGUGAAAUGCCCAGAUAUCAGGAGGAACACCGGUGGCGAAGGCGGGUCUCUGGGCCGAUACUGACGCUGAGGAGCGAAAGCGUGGGGAGCGAACAGG
rnacentral:rRNA from 1 species